UUCAAAUAUCGUUACUGUUUUGUGUAGCUUUGUACCAGUGUGUAUAUAUGUAUGAUGUGUAUAUGUAUAUAGUUAUACAAUAGGAAUAAGGUCUGUUUACUAUUAGGUGUAUAGCGUUGGAAUUUUCCUUGUAUAGCGUUAAUACCUUUACUGUUAUAAUUGAUUCUGUUCUGCUGUCACAUGCCAUGGCAUUUGUAAGCCCUCUCGCACCUCAAGAAGGCAACCUGCUGGUCAUCCAAAAGAAUCUGCAGGUGGCAAUCAGCUGUUUAACAUGCCUUUCUUGUGGUGCGCUGGCACUGUUGGCAUGAGCUGCCACAGAGAUUAACCUGUUGCCCUGUCUCUUCUGUCUUAUUUUCUCCUUUCCAUUUCUGCUGGUUUCAGUGAUCAUCUGGCUGGUCUUCAGUUCAUUCAGAUCUAGGUUUAAGAAGUAGUAUAAGAUUUAUUCAUUGUAAAUUCAGUUUAGGUUCCUGAGCACUGGCUUUUCUAUACACUGGAGUCUGAUUCACGCUAGAUGGCUGUUACAAUCGUACUACAAAAUAAUUACUUGAACUUGCAAUUUCUGUCUUUAAACAUAAAGUUGUUUGCUCAGGAGACUUGACUUUUUACCAGUUUGCAGGGUGUCUUGGCUGACACUGUUCUCUUACAGUGUUACCAUUUCUUCAAGGAGUCCAGAAACGCAUAAGCAGUCAUAUGUUGUCAUCAUCUUUGGUCCUUUGACUUUCUUGAAAACAAUACAUCUACUUGGAUCACUGCUGUGCAUAAUAAAUUAACAAUAUUUAAAUUGGUGCUGGAUCUGUUGAAGACCCUGACAAAUCCCACCCCACUGGUCUCAACUGUGGAAUGCUGUUCUUGGAUGUUCUCCCUAAAGUACUUGUGAUAUGUGGAGCUGUUGACACCAGUGAAGCAAAGGUGGUUUCUCUAUUUCAUUGUUUGGUGAUCCUCAUAGGAAAACUCUAGACAUGGCUGCUUACUGUUCCCUGUGUGCUGGGCUUACAUACCUAAUUGUGGUGGCCGUUUAUCUGAAGCCCUGCCUGGAAGGACUCUGAGCCACACCAUCCACAUAGCUGUGGAAAAGCCAACCUUGAUCUGCAGGAAAAAGAUCUGAGGAAAGCAGAAGCUCUUAUUGUGGUGGUCACAAGCAGAGAUGAGUGCAAAUGGAUGUAUGAACACAUCUGUUCCUAGAACUCCUAAGUAUCAAAGCAGUGAUACAGUUCUCAGUCAACAAAUUCAGACUGGAAAGCAAUAUGGAAUACAACUUUCAGGCGUAAAUACUAUCAGUCUGUCUUCUGUUUUUCACAGAUCAUUCAUGCCAGGUUGGGACCAUUGUCUCUUACUCCAAUUGUCAAAGUAAAACCUGUAAUUUAUACUCAGUUAUGAUGGAGAUAUGAAGUAUUCUACAUGGGUGUGUAGUUUUAACAACAGUGUUUUGUCUUCUACCUUCACCUGUUAAAAUCAGAUAGCCUUUUUUAACUGCUUUGUUAAAGCUUUGCUUGGUGAAAAUCACAAUGUAUUUAAACUUCCAAAACAUAUAAGGACUAUCCAUCCUUUUCCCCAUAUCAUUUAAUAGUUCUCUAUCAACUAAUAAAAAUAAGUGAAACGAG